rnacentral:rRNA from 1 species
UACGGGGGGAGCAAGCGUUGUUCGGAUUUACUGGGCGUAAAGGGCGCGUAGGCGGCCACCGCAAGUCGACUGUGAAAUCUCCGGGCUUAACCCGGAAAGGUCAGCCGAUACUGCGGGGCUAGAGUGCAGAAGGGGCAACUGGAAUUCUCGGUGUAGCGGUGAAAUGCGUAGAUAUCGAGAGGAACACCUGCGGCGAAGGCGGGCUGCUGGGCUGACACUGACGCUGAUGCGCGAAAGCUAGGGGAGCGAACGGG